rnacentral:lncRNA from 1 species
GAUGACUCUUAUUUCUAUUUCAACUGUAAAUUGGUUUCAGUGAAAUGUGGAGUCAAAUCUAGUCAAGAAAAGUACUUAAAGUUUAUAUAGUAUAAAAAGCAUGAAACAUUGAAAGAAUUCUAUGGAAGUAGUUAACUGUAACAGUCUAUCCAUGUCCUUCUGAAUAAAAAAAUCUUGUUACAUAGUUAUCCCCCCCCCCCCCCAAAAUGCUUGAUGAGUUUCUUACAGAGUUCAGAUUUUGAGACUACUUUUAUAGCCAUUUUAGUCUUGGAUUACUAGCACCUCCUUGACAUUAAGUGAAAUACUCUUCUUUCCUUGUUUCACUCUUAGGCUCCUGAUAGUUUAAAUGGUUAUCCUUCUGCUGGGUAAUGUAUUGUUAGACGAUGAUUUAUACCACUAACUAACUUUUCUGGGAAAAAAGGCAGUUAAGGUGAAUUUCAACCAGUUGGAUACUAUAACAUUCAUGGUUACAAAGGUAUACAAAGUGCUUUCCCUACCAUCCAAGCCCAGAACACAGCUAAAUUGUGUGUGAUUAACCUACAUCUUGGAAAGUAAUGUGGAUGUGAAGUAUCAAGUUGUUGCAAGAAGGUAAGAGAACUUCUGAAUAUCCCUUCACUCAGGAAUCCUGUUCAAAUUUUGUCAAUUGUCUUAGUACAAGCUUCCAACCCAGGGUCAGAUAUCUUGUUUGCUUAUUUCAUUAGUCUCAAUUCAGUCUGAUCAUUUUUUUUUUCCUUUGACUUUUGCAACCUUGUCACUUCUGAAGGUUUGAUGAAGUGAAGCCCAUUACUGAUACUGACAAAGGGGCCAGGGCAGAGGUUUGUUCAAUGAGGAGUGAACAACUUGUUUGAGUAGUUUAGUUGAGAAGGAUCAAAAUGGGACGGUGGCUGCAGAGGUUUCUAGAAUCAAGGUUGGGGUGUGACAA